AACGAACGUUGGCGGCGUGGAUGAGGCAUGCAAGUCGAACGCGAAAGCCGCAAGGCGAGUAGCGUGGCGGACGGGUGCGUAACGCGUAGUCAAGUUACCUUCGAGACGGGGAUAACCGCGGGAAACCGCGGCUAAUACCGGAUGGUCCAGCGUGAUCGCAUGAUCGUGCUGGUAAAUGGGGGGGAUCUUUCGGGACCUCCUGCUCGGUGAGACGACUGCGUCCUAUCAGCUAGUUGGCGGGGUAAUGGCCCACCAAGGCAUUGACGGGUAGCCGGCCUGAGAGGGUGGUCGGCCACACUGGGACUGAGACACUGCCCAGACUCCUACGGGAGGCUGCAGUCGAGAAUCUUCCGCAAUGGGCGAAAGCCUGACGGAGCGACGCCGCGUGGAGGACGAAGGCCUUCGGGUUGUAAACUCCUGUCACGGAUCAUGAACGGCGUUCCAUGAACAAUGGAACGAUUGACGUAAGUCCGAGAGGAAGCACCGGCUAACUCUGUGCCAGCAGCCGCGGUAAUACAGAGGGUGCGAACGUUGUUCGGAAUUACUGGGCAUAAAGAGCACGUAGGCGGCACCGCAAGUGUGGGGUGAAAUCCCACGGCUUACCCGUGGAACUGCCUGGCAGACUGCGGUGCUAGAGGUUGGUAGGGGAGAGCGGAACUCUUGGUGGAGCGGUGAAAUGCGUAGAUAUCAAGAGGAACACCGGUGGCGAAGGCGGCUCUCUGGAACAAUCCUGACGCUGAGGUGCGAAAGCUAGGGGAGCAAACGGGAUUAGAUACCCCGGUAGUCCUAGCUGUAAACGAUGGGCACUAGCUUGGGGUCACCCCGUGUGAUCCCAGGUGAAGCGAAUGUGGUAAGUGCCCCGCCUGGGGAGUACGGUCGCAAGGCUG
rnacentral:rRNA from 1 species